AGCAGCCGCGGUAAUUCCAGCUCUCCGAGUGGUAGGGACGAUUAUUGGGCUUAAAGCGUCCGUAGCCGGCCUGGCAAGUCUCCCGUUAAAUCCAACGAUCCAAUCGUUGGACUGUGGGAGAUACUGUCAGGCUAGGGGGCGGGAGAGGCCGACGGUAUUCUCGGGGUAGGGGUAAAAUCCUAUAAUCCCGGGAAGACCACCAGUGGCGAAGGCGGUCGGCUAGAACGCGCCCGACGGUGAGGGACGAAAGCUGGGGGAGCGAACCGGAUUAGAUACCCGGGUAGUCCCAGCCGUAAACGAUGCGGGCUAGGUGUUGGAGCGGCUACGAGCCGCUUCCGUGCCGCAGGGAAACCAUUAAGCCCGCCGCCUGGGGAGUACGGCCGCAAGGCUGAAACUUAAAGGAAUUGGCGGGGGAGCACCACAAGGGGUGAAGCUUGCGGUUUAAUUGGAGUCAACGCCGGGAAACUUACCGGGGGCGACAGCAGGAUGAAGGCCAGCUUGAAGGUCUUGCUGGACGAGCUGAGAGGAGGUGCAUGGCCGUCGCCAGUUCGUGCCGUGAGGUGUCCUGUUAAGUCAGGCAACGAUCGAGACCCACGCCCCCUGUUGCCACCAAGGAGGUUUCUCCAGGGGCACUCUGGGGGGACCGCCGCCGAAAAGGCGGAGGAAGGAGUGGGUCACGGCAGGUCAUUAUUGCCCCGAAUCCCCCGGGCCACACGCGAGCUGCAAUGGCUGGGACAGAGGGUUCCACCCCGGAGAGGGGAAGGCAAUCCCUAAACCCAGCCGUAGUUGGGAUCGAGGGCUGAAACUCGCCCCUCGUGAACAUGGAAUCCCUAGUAAUCGCGCGUCAUCAUCGCGCGGUGAAUACGUCCCUGCUUCUUGCACACACCGC
rnacentral:rRNA from 1 species